rnacentral:misc_RNA from 1 species
GACGAAGAACGUAGUGAAAUGCGAUAAGUAAUGUGAAUUGCAGAAUUCAGUGAAUCAUCGAAUCUUUGAACGCACAUUGCGCCCGCCAGUAUUCUGGCGGGCAUGCCUGUUCGAGCGUCAUUUCAACCAUCAAGCCCCCGGCUUGUGUUGGGGACCUGCGGCUGCCGCAGGCCCUGAAAACCAGUGGCGGGCUCGCUAGUCACUCCGAGCGUAGUAAUACAUCUCGCUCAGGGCGUGCUGCGGGUUCCGGCCGUUAAAAAGCCUUAUUUACCCAAGGUUGACCUCGGAUCAGGUAGGAAGACCCGCUGAACUUAAGCAUAUCAAUAAGCGGAGGA